UACGAAGGGUGCAAGCGUUAAUCGGAAUUACUGGGCGUAAAGCGUGCGUAGGUGGUCUUUUAAGUCCGUUGUGAAAGCCCUGGGCUCAACCUGGGAAUGGCAGUGGAUACUGGAAGGCUGGAGUACGGUAGAGGAGGGUGGAAUUCCCGGUGUAGCGGUGAAAUGCGUAGAGAUCGGGAGGAACAUCAGUGGCGAAGGCGGCAUCCUGGACCGACAUUGACGCUGAGGAGCGAAAGCUAGGGGAGCAAACGGGG
rnacentral:rRNA from 1 species